rnacentral:rRNA from 1 species
UACAGAGGUCUCAAGCGUUGUUCGGAAUUACUGGGCGUAAAGGGUUCGUAGGUGGCCAACUAAGUCGGACGUGAAAUCCCUCAGCUUAACUGGGGAACUGCGUCUGAUACUGGUUGGCUUGAGUGCAGGAGAGGAAUGCGGAAUUCCCGGUGUAGCAGUGAAAUGCGUAGAUAUCGGGAGGAACGCCGGUGGCGAAGGCGAGUCCCUGGACAACCCCUGACGCUGAGGCACGAAAGCUAGGGGAGCAAACAGG